rnacentral:tRNA from 1 species
GGCCGGUUAGCUCAGUGGUUUGAGCGCGGUGCUGACAACAACACCGAGGUGGCGGGUUCGAUUCCUGCUCGGUCC